CUUGCUGGAUGCUGACGAGCGGCGGACGGGUGAGUAAUGCAUAGGAAUCUGCCCGAUAGUGGGGGAUAACCUGGGGAAACCCAGGCUAAUACCGCAUACGUCCUACGGGAGAAAGGGGGCUCCGGCUCCCGCUAUGGGAUGAGCCUAUGUCGGAUUAGCUAGUUGGUGAGGUAACGGCUCACCAAGGCCACGAUCCGUAGCUGGUCUGAGAGGAUGAUCAGCCACAUCGGGACUGAGACACGGCCCGAACUCCUACGGGAGGCAGCAGUGGGGAAUAUUGGACAAUGGGGGAAACCCUGAUCCAGCCAUGCCGCGUGUGUGAAGAAGGCCCUCGGGUUGUAAAGCACUUUCAGCGAGGAAGAACGCCUAGCGGUUAAUACCCGCUAGGAAAGACAUCACUCGCAGAAGAAGCACCGGCUAACUCCGUGCCAGCAGCCGCGGUAAUACGGAGGGUGCAAGCGUUAAUCGGAAUUACUGGGCGUAAAGCGCGCGUAGGUGGCUUGAUAAGCCGGUUGUGAAAGCCCCGGGCUCAACCUGGGAACGGCAUCCGGAACUGUCAAGCUAGAGUGCAGGAGAGGAAGGUAGAAUUCCCGGUGUAGCGGUGAAAUGCGUAGAGAUCGGGGAGGAAUACCAG
rnacentral:rRNA from 1 species